rnacentral:miRNA from 1 species
UGUCACUUUUUCUUCAAUAUCUCAGAGGCCGGGUGUGGUAGCACAUGCCUGUAAUUCCAGCACUUGGGAGGCUGAGGCAGGAGGAU